rnacentral:rRNA from 1 species
UACAGAGGGUGCGAGCGUUUAAUCGGAGUUACUGGGCGUAAAGGGCGCGUAGGCGGCGCACCAAGUCAGGCGUGAAAGCCCUGGGCUCAACCCGGGAAUUGCGCUUGAGACUGGUGUGCUUGAGUACGGGAGAGGAUAGUGGAAUUCCCAGUGUAGAGGUGAAAUUCGUAGAUAUUGGGAAGAACACCGGUGGCGAAGGCGGCUAUCUGGACCGUAACUGACGCUGAGGCGCGAAAGCGUGGGGAGCAAACAGGG